rnacentral:rRNA from 1 species
CACGUAGGGUGCGAGCGUUGUCCGGAAUUAUUGGGCGUAAAGCGUGCGCAGGCGGUUUCUUAAGUCAGAUGUGAAAGCCCCGGGCUUAACCUGGGAACUGCGUUUGAAACUGGGAGACUUGAGUGUGGCAGAGGGGGGUGGAAUUCCACGUGUAGCAGUGAAAUGCGUAGAUAUGUGGAGGAACACCGAUGGCGAAGGCAGCCCCCUGGGUUAACACUGACGCUCAUGCACGAAAGCGUGGGGAGCAAACAGG